rnacentral:rRNA from 1 species
AUUGAACGCUGGCGGCAGGCCUAACACAUGCAAGUCGUACGUGUGGCGGACGGGUGAGUAAUGUCUGGGCAACUGCCCGAUGGAGGGGGAUAACUACUGGAAACGGUAGCUAAUACCGCAUACCAUCGGAUGUGCCCAGAUGGGAUUAGCUAGUAGGGGGGUUAACGGCUCAACUAGGCGACGAUCCCUAGCUGGUCUGAGAGGAUGACCGGCCACAAGGGAACGGAGACACGGUCCAGACUCUUACGGGAGGCAGCAGUGGGGAAUAUUGCACAAUGGGCGCAAGCCUGAUGGAGCCAUGCCGGGUGUAGGAAGAAGGCCUUCGGGUUGUAAAGUACUUUGAGCGAGGAGGAGUUACUCGCAGAAGAAGCAUCGGCUAACUCCGUGCCAGCAGCCGCGGUAAUUC